rnacentral:lncRNA from 1 species
UGCAAUCCGUACGUGUCCCCUCACACCUUCAAUUUAUGCAUUCAAAAUCUUAUUAUAAAUACAGCCCAAAAAUGCAUUAGUUUCUUCAUCCCUCAAUUUUCAUAUUUCAUAAGUACUAAGCUUUGAAACAAAAAUAAAAGAAUUAAGAAGAAUGGGUUCCAAGGCAAUUAUGUUUCUUGGUCUUUUUUUGGCUAUUUUCUUAAUGAUAAGCUCUGAGGUUGCAGCUAGGGAGUUGGCAGCUGAGACUUCCAAUGGUAAGCAUUUCUUUUCAUUUGUUCCCUCUCUUAGGGUAUGUUCGAUAAAAAAAAAUAUUUUUCAUGAAAAAUAUUUUGUAAGAAAAUAUAAGUGACUUCUUUAUUUACUUUUUUGUGUUCAAUAUCGUGAUAUAAUCUAGACAGAUAUAUAAUUGGUGGGGUUGGAUGGUGACGGUGGGAUGAAGAUGGGGCGAAGAUAAAUAUGUUUGAUCAUAAAAUUUGUCUACUUUUUGAAAAUUAUUUGAAACAAAAUCCCAAAAUUUCAAUCACUAAUGCUGUAGUUUGAUCAUGACACUUAAUAUAUAUUCUUUUUGUUUCAUGUUAUACGUCUCAAUUACUAUGCAUAAAGUAUAAGAAUAUACCAUAAACUUCCCAAACUUUGCUAAACUAAACUAAAGGUAUGUAAAUUAUAUUAUAAAUGCCCUAUGAGUUUUGUGAUCUUAUGUUACAUUGAAAUUAAAAAAAUUACAAUUAAAUAUAUAUAGGAAGAGGAGUACUCAUUUUGAAAUAUAAUAAAAAGGAAAGUACGACAUAUAAAUUGAAGUGCAAUUCAAAGACUAGUAAUGACUCAUCGUACGUGUUAGCUAGUUUAAUUAAUCUUCACAAUUCAUCGAUGCAGCGGUAAACGUUGAUGGACAUUAUUAUGGAGGCGGCUAUGGUAAGGGCCAUGGAAAACCUAAGAAAUGUUAUAGUUGCUGCAAGAAAUACAAAUAUGGAUGCAAAAAAUACUGCUGCUCUUAUGAAGAAUAUGUGGCUGCCCAGACUCACAACUAAAUAAUUAAUUAUUAUUGUAAACUUUUGAAAUUAAGUGACAAGAUACUAAUAAUCUUGCUACUUAAGACCCUUUGCUUGUAACAAGUAUGAAUAAAGCCAUUCAUUUACAAUGAAUGGUUGGUCAUGAUGUAAUGUUUUGUUGUACAAUAUAUCAUAUUGUGUUAAAAAUGUUUCCCUAAUGUUAAGAUUUUCUUCUUAUUUUUACUUAAGUAUUCUAUCAUCCCUUAAUCAUAUGUUUCAAGAUUGAAUCCUGGUCCGAAUAUAGAAUUGUCUUUGUUACAUAGUAUUUUACUCUAUUUGAAUUUUUUACCGUGAAUCCAAUUUAUUUAAGGCAUCUCUAAUUAAGGAUAUUGAACAUUGAGGGGAAAUUUUAAAAUAUUUAAUUUUCUUGUUAUUUAAUAAAGUAAGGAAAACAAUGCAGAAAAAAAGAAACAAUUUGUUCUUUUCUUUGUAUAAUAUUUAAAAAAAUAUAAUCACAGAAGAAAUAAAAUUAAAGCAUGGGGGACAAACGACUAAUAAUGUCAAAUCAUCACUUAUUUUUUUAUUUCUAAUGAACACUUUAGUCAGGGCUGAAAUCGAAAUUUUAUGAAAACAUCACAACAUAUAAACAAAAAUGAACACAUGAGUAAAUUUUAAUGAUUCAAUAUAUGAUACAAUGUAGUAGCUUUUUUCGACGAAGGAGAGUCAAUUAACAAUAUUAGAUAAGGAUGGUUACAUCAUUAAUAUUCACGAUCACCAUUAAGGGCGUAUUUACCUUAAGCUCGCAAUAUAUAUAUGCAACGUCAACCAAAUAACUCACAUUAGGGGUGUACAAAAAUGAACCGAAAACCGAAUUAAACCGCAAAUCGAGAAAAAAAAAUCCGACUAGUGGUUGGUUUGACUUGGUUUGGUAUUGAAAAAAAAACCCAACUAUAUUUGGGUUGGUUUGGUUUUAACUAAAAAAAACCAACCCGAGACCAAACCAACACGUCAUUAUAUAUAUAAUUUUAAAAUUUAUUUUAUAUUUUAUACAUAAAAAUAUUUACUUUGAAAUAAUUUUUAAAUCUUUCUUAUACUUUUUCAUAGUUUUUAUCUUUUAAUAUAUUAUUNNNNNNNNNNNNNNNNNNNNNNNNNNNNNNNNNNNNNNNNNNNNNNNNNNNNNNNNNNNNNNNNNNNNNNNNNNNNNNNNNNNNNNNNNNNNNNNNNNNNNNNNNNNNNNNNNNNNNNNNNNNNNNNNNNNNNNNNNNNNNNNNNNNNNNNNNNNNNNNNNNNNNNNNNNNNNNNNNNNNNNNNNNNNNNNNNNNNNNNNNNNNNNNNNNNNNNNNNNNNNNNNNNNNNNNNNNNNNNNNNNNNNNNNNNNNNNNNNNNNNNNNNNNNNNNNNNNNNNNNNNNNNNNNNNGAAAACAAAAAUACAGAAUGAUUAUUAUGAAAAAAAUAAGUGAACAAAUGGGGUUCUUUUGUAUAUUUUAUUUUUUGUUAUUGCUGAAUUUGCCGAACUUUUACAGCUUGUUUGAGUACUUGUUACCUAUAUAGUUGUAUUUUGGUGGCGAAAUGGUCUAAUAGACCCCUGUACUUGUAUGAGUUUGUAUUGUGAACCCUUCUACUUAACUCUUUAUCAAUUGAACCCUUAAACUUAUAAAACACAAUUUAUCAAACCCCUCUGACCAUUGACUAGGCUUAUGUGGCAUCAAUAUGGUUGAGUUGGCAAGAGUGUGUGAAUUCACUCUCGUUAAGGCGAGUGAUAUCCUAUUUAAGUUUUAAAAAAUAUUAAAAAAUUAAAAAAAAAUAAAACAAUAAAACAAAAAAACUUUAAAAAAAAUAACUAAAAAAGGCUUUCUUCUUCCGCCAACAGGUUCACAUCCAUUUUUGGCCAUCUCCAUCCCUGUCCAAUCCAUUUUUCUUUCUUCUUCACACUCUUGUCAUCUUCUUUAGCAGAUCUUCGCAUUGGCACCUAGAGAGAGACGACGCAGGUCAGUGGAAGAAGAACGAGGCGGUUGAGGGUAGGAUCUGGUCACGACAGCGAAGAGGUUUUUCGGUCAGAUCUGGUGGCCAUGGUGCGACGGAGAUGAAGACGGGUGAGGAAGAGGGCACGUAUGGUCGCCGGCAAGAGUUGCGACGACGACUGAGACGGCGGCGAGGAGCCUCCUAGAAUAUUUGUAUGCCGGAGACAGUAAGGGGUUUCUUGGCCUUCUGAUACUCCGGAGAGGAUGAAGAGCAUAUCGGUCGGUGAUGGUGAGGGGAGAGAAGCUAGUGCGGUGGCUUAGGGUUUCUAGAUUUGUGGAGGUUAGAGAAGGAGAAAAGAAAAUGGUAAGGGUGUGCGAUGAAGAUGGAGGUUGGUGGGGAGAUCGUAUUUGUGGUCUCGCCGGCAAGAGGAGCGGCAACAGCAGCGACUUUUUCCGACAGUUGGGCCAUUUCACGGUGAAAAUGGAAGAUGAUGUGAGGAGACCCAAACUUUUAAUUUAAAAUAAUAAAUUAAAAUUUAAUUUGUCAAAAUUACAUCAAAACUUUAUGAUUUUUCUUUUGUUAAAAAAGAAAUUAUUAUAUAAAAAAAAAAUGAUGUGGCAAAUUUUAUCUGACAUAGCGUAUGACAUUAGCGUGAUUGAGAAUCACGAUGAGUUGAAAGGGUUCAAUAGGUUGAGUUUAGAUGGGUUCAGGGGUCCAUAUGACAAAGAGGUAAGUAGAAGAAUUCACAAUACAAACGCAUACAAGUACAAGGGUCCACCAGAUCAUUUUGCCUAUUUUGGUAGGACUAAAGAAAUAUUUGAAGUACAAGUAAAUUAUAUGUUCGUAUGAAUACUUUACCGGAAAAACCCGAAAAAUCCGAGGUUGAAAAACCCGAGUUUUAUUGAUUUGGUUUGGUUUAUAGAUUUAAAAAUUCAACACAAAUGGUUGGAUUUGAUAAUUGAAAAAUCCGAACCAACCCGGUCAUGUACACCCCUAACUCACAUGAUUAUGAAUCAAGGAAAAGAAUAAAUAAUUUUCGUCAUGUUGUGCAAAAAUAUAUAUUUCUAAUCUUAUUAAUAUUAGGUUAGGGGGAAACCUUUUUUGGGUUAUUUAUUAUUUCUAUCUAUAUUUUGUGUAUAUAUAUAAAAAAAAAAUUGCAUAAUAUAUAAACGUAUCCUUUAAUUUGGUCUCAACUGACAUCUAGCCCUCCAACUUUGGAUGUGCACAAGUAGGGACUUAAACUUGUAUAGAGUUGAACAAGUAGACACACUAGUCCUACGUGACAUAAUACGCAUAGGACACCAUGUACGACACAAAUUAUCAUGUAGGACAUGUAUAUCUACUUGUUCUAUUAUAUAUAAACUUAAGUGUUUACCAUUAGUACACAUCCAAAAUUAAAGGUUAUAAAUAUCGAUUAAGGUCAAAAUAAAAUAAUAUUUUCAUGUAUUAUACUUGUUUUUUUAGAAGACUUUUCUUGAGUUAUAAAGCAAUAAAGAGAGUUGGCCCCUCUUAUUUAACUUGAUACGUUGUACAUUAAAAGAGUCAUUAAAUACGUCAUUUAAAGUCUUUGAGUAUUGACCAAAUCCAAGAGUAUAUAUACACCACUAUUUCUAGAUAUUUUAGGAUAAGGUAGUCCUACAAGUUAGCAUAUUUUAAAUUACUUUUUUGCAUAACUAUCCAAAAAUAUACUAUUAACACGACGAUUUAUUAUCGAAAUAUAUAAUACCCAUCACAUGCAUAUUAUUUUUUAAAGUUAUUUUAAUGUUUGAUUUUCUACUAAGUAUUAAUCUUUGUUUUUAGUUUGUUUUGUCGGAUGGUGUACGUAAGCCACUUGGUCAUAUUGAUGUGAUAUAUUUACAAAUAUUUUUUCGAAAAAAUAAGUAAAUUUUUAUCUAUUCUUAUGUUUUUUUAUAGGGAAAAAGUCUGAAAUAUAUUCGAACUUUAGCCAUUCUACUUAAUUUUACUAAUGGUGUUAUAGUAUUAACGUAUGUACUUGUGCCUUUCUACUUUUACUAAUGGUGUUUUGAUUAUUUUUAACUUUUAAUUUGAUUAUUUUGAAUAUUUAAGAUUUGUAAAAUACAAACAGAUACAAUUUAUAAAUAUUAUGUUUUUUUCAUCUUAACAAAAUAUUACUUACGACUCCACCAUAAAAUCAACACUCUAUUUAUCUACCACUUGUAGAGCAAGUUGUUCAUUUCUUUGGUCCAUACAUAAUUGCAAUCCGUAUAUGUAUCCCCUCACACCUCUAAUUAUUUAUGCAUUCAAAUCUUAUUAUAAAUAGAGCCCAAAAAUGCAUUAGUUUCUUCAUCCCUCAAUUUUCAUAUUUCAUAAGUACUAAGUUUUGAACAAAAGAAAAAUUAAAAAGAAUGGGUUCCAAGGCAAUUAUGUUUCUUGGUCUUUUUUUGGCUAUUUUCUUAAUGAUAAGCUCUGAGGUUGCAGCUAGGGAGUUGGCAGCUGAGACUUCCAAUGGUAAGCAUUUCUUUUCAUUUGUUCCCUCUCUUAGGGUGUGUUCGAUAAAAAAAAAAUGUUUUCAUGAAAAAUAUUUUGUAAGAAAAUAUAAGUGACUUCUUUAUUUACUUUGUUGUGUUUAAUAUUGUGAUAUAAUCUAGAUAAAUAUAUAAUUGGUGGGGUUGGAUGAUGACGGUGGGAUGAGGAUGGGGGAAGAUAAAUAUGUUUGAUCAUAAAAUUUGUCUACUUUUUGAAAAUUAUUGGAAACGAAAUCCCAAAAUUUCAAUUAAUAAUGCUAUAGUUUGAUCAUGACACUAAAUAUACAUUCCUUUUGUUUCAUUUUAUAUGUCUCAAUUACUAUGCAUAAAGUUUAAGAAUAUACCAUAAACUUUCCAAUCUUUGCUAAACUAAACUAAAGGCGUGUAAAUUAUAUUAUAAAUGUCCUAUGAAUUUUGUGAUCUUAUGUUACAUUGGAAUUAAAAAAAUUAAUUACAAUUAAAUAUAUAUAGUUAAUGGAGUACUCAUUUUGAAAUAUAAUAAAAAGGAAAGUACGACAUAUAAAUUGAAGCUCAAUUCAGAGACUAGUCAUAACUCAUCGUACGUGUUAGCUAGUUUAAUUAAUCUUCACAAUUCAUCGAUGCAGCGGUAAACGUUGAUGGACAUUAUUAUGGCGGUGGCUAUCACGAGGGCUAUGGAAAACCUAAGAAAUGUCAUAGUUGCUGCAAAAAAUACAAUAUGGAUGCAUAAAAUACUGCUGCUCUUAUGAAGAAUAUGUGGCUGCCCAGACUCACAACUAAAUAAUUAAUUGUGUGUAUUAUUAUUGUAAACUUUUGAAAUUAAGUGACAAGAUAAUAAUAAUCUUGUUACUUAAGACCCUUUGCUUGUAACAAGUAUGAAUAAAGCCAUUCAUUUACUAUGAAUGGUUGGUCAUGAUGUAAUGUUUUGUUGUACAAUAUAUCAUAUUGUGUUAAAAAAUGUUUCCCUAAUGUUAAGAUUUUCUUCUUAUUUUUACUUUAAGUAUUAUAUUCUAUCAUCCUUUAAUCAUAUAUUUCAGGAUUGAAUCCUGAUCCGAAUAUAGAAUUGUCUUUGUUACAUAGUGUUUUACUUGAUCUGAAUUUUUUAACGUGAAUCCAAUUUAUUUAAGGCAUCUCUAAGGAUAUUGAACAUCGAGGGGAAAAUUUAAAAUAUUUAAUUUUCUUGUUAUUUAAUAAAGUAAGGAAAACAAUGCAGAAAAAAGAAACAAUUUGUUCUUUUCUUUGUCUAAUAUUUUUUAAAAGUAUAAUCACAGAAGAAAUAAAAUUAAAGCAUGGGGGACAAAAGACUAAUAAUGUCAAAUCAUCACUUAUUUUUUGAUUUCUAAUGAACACUCUAGUCAGGGCUGAAAUCGAAAUUUUAUGAAAACAUCACAAUAUAAACAAAAAUAAACACAUGAGUAAAUUUUAAUGAUUCAAUAUAUGAUACAAUGUAGUAACUUUUUUCGACGAAGGAGAGUCAAUUAACACUCUUAGAUAAGGAUGGUUACAUCAUUAAUAUUCACGAUCACCAUUAGGGGCGGAUUUACCUUAAGCUCGCAAUGCCAUCUAGCUAUUAGUCAUGCAUGGAAAAUAAAUUUUCUUAUGCACAUGAUCAACUAAAUAAAUAUCGUAUUAUUUAGAAAAGAUUUAUAUAUAUAUAUGCAACAUCAACCAAAUAACUCACAAUCUCACAUGAUUAUUAAUCAGGGAAAAGAUUAAAUAAUUUUCGUCAUGUUGUGCAAAAAUAUAUAUUUCUAAUCUUAUUAAUAUUAGGUUAGGGGGGGAAACCGUUUUUUUGGGUUAUUUAUUAUUUCUAUCUAUAUUUUGUGUAUAUAUAUAAAAAAAAAUUAGCAUAAAAUAUAAACGUAUCCUUUAAUUUGGUCUCAACUGACAUCUAGCCCUCCAACUUUGGAUGUGCACAAGUAGAGACUUAAACUUGUAUAGAGUUGAACAAGUAGACACACUAAUCCUACAUGACAUAAUACGUGUAGGACCGCAUGUACGACACAAAUUAUCAUGUAGAACAUGUGUGUUUACUUAUUCUAUUAUAUAUAAAGUUAAGUGUUUACCAUUAGUACACAUUCAAAAUUAAAGGUUAUAAAUAUCGGUUAAGGUCAAAAUAAAAUAAUAUUUUCAUGUAUUAUACUUGUUUUUUUAGUAAGACUUUUCUUGAGUUAUAAAGCAAAUGAAGAGAGUUGGCCCCUCUUAUUUAACUUGAUACGUUGUACAUUAAAUACGUCAUUUAAAGUCUUUGAGUAUUGACCAAAUCCAAGAGUAUAUAUACACCACUAUUUCUAGAUAUUUUAGGAUAAGGUAGUCCUACAUGUUAGCAUAUUUUAAAUUACUUUUUUGCAUAACUGUCCAAAAAUAUACUAUUAACACGACGAUUUAUUAUCGAAAUAUAUAAUACCCAUCACAUGCAUAUUAUUUUUUAAAGUUAUUUUAAUGUUGUUUGAUUAUCUACUAAGUAUUAAUCUUUGUUUUUAGUUUGUUUUGUCGGACGGUGUACGUAAGCCACUUGGUCAUAUUGAUGUGAUAUAUUUACAAAUAUCUUUUCGAAAAAAUAAGUAAAUUUUUAUCUAUUCUUAUUUUUUUUAUAGGGAAAAAAGACUGAAAUAUAUACAAACUUUGGCCAUUCUACUUUUAAUAAUGGUGUUAUAGUAUUAACGUAUGUACUUGUGCCUCUCUACUUUUACUAAUGGUGUUUCGAUAUUUUUAACUUUUAAUUUGAUUAUUUUGAAUAUUUAAGAUUUGUAAAAUACAAACAAAUACAAUUUAUAAAUAUUAUGUUUUUUUCAUCUUAACAAAAUAUUACUUACGACUCCACCAUAAAAUCAACACUCUAUUUAUCUGCCACUUGUAGAGCAAGCUCAUUUCUUUGGUCCAUAAAAUAAUUGCAAUCCGUACAUGUGUCCCCUCACACCUCUAAUUAUUUAUGCAUUCAAAUCUUAUUAUAAAUGAGCCCAAACAUGCAUUAGUUUCUUCAUCCCUCAAUUUUCAUAUUUCAUAAGUACUAAGUUUUGAACAAAAGAAAAAUUAAAAAGAAUGGGUUCCAAGGCAAUUAUGUUUCUUGGUAUUUUUUUGGCUAUUUUCUUAAUGAUAAGCUCUGAGGUUGCAGCUAGGGAGUUGGCAGCUGAGACUUCCAAUGGUAAGCAUUUCUUCUCAUUUGUUCCCUCUCUUAGGGUGUGUUCGAUAAAAAAAAAUGUUUUUCAUGAAAUAUAUUUUGUAAGAAAAUAUGAAUGACUUCUUUAUUUACUUUUUUGUGUUCAAUAUUGUGAUAUAAUCUAGACAGAUAUAUAAUUGGUGGGGUUGGAUGGUGAGGGUGUGGGGAUGAGGAUGGGGGCGAAGAUAAAUAUGUUUGGUCAUAAAAUUUGUCUACUUUUUAAAAAUUAUUGGAAACCAAAUCCAAAAAUUUCAAUCACUAAUGCUAUAGUUUGAUCAUGACAUUUAAUAUACAUUCCUUUUGUUUCAUUUAAUAUAUGUCUCAAUUACAAGGCAUAAACCUUCCAAUCUUUGCUAAACUAAACUAAAGGUGUGUAAAUUAUAUUAUAAAUGUCCUACGAAUUUUGUGAUCUUUUGUUACAUUGAACUUAAAAAAUAUACAAUUAAAUAUAUAUAGGAAAAGGAGUACUCAUUUUGAAAUAUAAUAAAAAGGAAAGUACGACAUAUAAAUUGAAGCUCAAUUCAGAGACUAGUCAUGACUCAUCGUAUGUGUAAGCUAGUUUAAUUAAUCUUCACAAUUCAUCGAUGUAGCGGUCAACGUUGAUGGACAUUAUCAUGGUGGCGGCUAUGGUAAGGGCUAUGGAAAACCUAAAAAAUGUUAUAGUUGCUGCAAGAAAACCAAAUAUGGAUGCAAAAAAUACUGCUGCUCUUAUGAAGAAUAUGUGGCUGCCCAGACUCACAACUAAAUAAUUAAUUGUGUGUAUUAUUAUUGUAAACUUUUGAAAUUAAGUGACAAGAUAAUAAUAAUCUUGCUACUUAAGACCCUUUGCUUGUAACAAGUAUGAAUAAAGCCAUUCAUUUACUAUGAAUGGUUGGUCAUGAUGUAAUGUUUUGUUGUACAAUAUAUCAUAUUGUGUUAAAAAUGUUUCCCUAAUGUUAAGAUUUCCUUCUUAUUUUUACUUAAGUAUUCUAUCAUCCUUUAAUCAUAUGUUUCAGGAUUGAAUCCUGAUCCGAAUAUAAAAUCGUCUUUAUUACAUAGCUUUUACUCGAUCUGAAUUUUUUACCGUGAAUCCAAUUUAUUUAAGGCAUCUCUAAUUAAGGAUAUUGAACAUUGAGGGGAAAAAUUUAAAAUAUUUAAUUUUCU